GAACUUCAAAACCAACGCAAUAAUAGUCAUCAACAAACAUGGGUAAACUUUUGGUUUAUACUAUCUUCGUCAUUUACGCUUUGAUGAUGGUGAUGGAUUUUGCUGCAGCAUGCCAAGCUCAUGAUUCUCCGUGUGUUGGAGCAAAUGGAUCGCAAGGAAACUGCUGUGGUGGCAUGCAUUGUCAGAAAAACGAUCCAAGCUGGAGUGAGGGAAGGUGUUAUUACAACCCUGGAAAAUAAGGGAAAUAUAUGGAUCCAAUACUCGGAUUCUAUAAAAAUAUAAUUAUUAAAAUAAACCCAUAAAAUUGUUUGUAUUCCAAAAACUCUUUAAAACUCCCCCUUCAAAAAAUUAUACAAAUUUUAAAAAUA